rnacentral:rRNA from 2 species
UUAAGCGACUAAGCGUACACGGUGGAUGCCCUGGCAGUCAGAGGCGAUGAAGGGCGUGCUAAUCUGCGAUAAGCGCCGGUAAGGUGAUAUGAACCGUUAUAACCGGCGAUACCCGAAUGGGGAAACCCAGUGUGAUUCGUCACACUAUCAUUAACUGAAUCCAUAGGUUAAUGAGGCGAACCGGGGGAACUGAAACAUCUAAGUACCCCGAGGAAAAGAAAUCAACCGAGAUUCCCCCAGUAGCGGCGAGCGAACGGGGAGGAGCCCAGAGCCUGAAUCAGCAUGUGUGUUAGUGGAAGCGUCUGGAAAGGCGCGCGAUACAGGGUGACAGCCCCGUACACAAAAGCGCAUGUGCUGUGAGCUCGAUGAGUAGGGCGGGACACGUGGUAUCCUGUCUGAAUAUGGGGGGACCAUCCUCCAAGGCUAAAUACUCCUGACUGACCGAUAGUGAACCAGUACCGUGAGGGAAAGGCGAAAAGAACCCCGGCGAGGGGAGUGAAAAAGAACCUGAAACCGUGUACGUACAAGCAGUGGGAGCACCCUUCGGGGUGUGACUGCGUACCUUUUGUAUAAUGGGUCAGCGACUUAUAUUCUGUAGCAAGGUUAACCGUAUAGGGGAGCCGGAGGGAAACCGAGUCUUAACCGGGCGUUAAGUUGCAGGGUAUAGACCCGAAACCCGGUGAUCUAGCCAUGGGCAGGUUGAAGGUUGGGUAACACUAACUGGAGGACCGAACCGACUAAUGUUGAAAAAUUAGCGGAUGACCUGUGGCUGGGGGUGAAAGGCCAAUCAAACCGGGAGAUAGCUGGUUCUCCCCGAAAGCUAUUUAGGUAGCGCCUCGUGAAUUCAUCUCCGGGGGUAGAGCACUGUUUCGGCUAGGGGGCCAUCCCGGCUUACCAACCCGAUGCAAACUGCGAAUACCGGAGAAUGUUAUCACGGGAGACACACGGCGGGUGCUAACGUCCGUCGUGAAGAGGGAAACAACCCAGACCGCCAGCUAAGGUCCCAAAGUCAUGGUUAAGUGGGAAACGAUGUGGGAAGGCCCAGACAGCCAGGAUGUUGGCUUAGAAGCAGCCAUCAUUUAAAGAAAGCGUAAUAGCUCACUGGUCGAGUCGGCCUGCGCGGAAGAUGUAACGGGGCUAAACCAUGCACCGAAGCUGCGGCAGCGAACGUAUCACCCAAGACAACUUUACGGAGUUGACGAUUGACGGAGCGAAGCGACGUCAAAGCGUUCAUUAAAGUCGAGUUGGCUUAGGGAUACGUUCGUUGGGUAGGGGAGCGUUCUGUAAGCCUGUGAAGGUGUGUCGUGAGGCAUGCUGGAGGUAUCAGAAGUGCGAAUGCUGACAUAAGUAACGAUAAAGCGGGUGAAAAGCCCGCUCGCCGGAAGACCAAGGGUUCCUGUCCAACGUUAAUCGGGGCAGGGUGAGUCGACCCCUAAGGCGAGGCCGAAAGGCGUAGUCGAUGGGAAACGGGUUAAUAUUCCCGUACUUGGUGUUACUGCGAAGGGGGGACGGAGAAGGCUAUGUUGGCCGGGCGACGGUUGUCCCGGUUUAAGCGUGUAGGUGUGUGUUCCAGGUAAAUCCGGUUCACUUUAACACUGAGGCGUGACGACGAGGCACUACGGUGCUGAAGCAACAAAUGCCCUGCUUCCAGGAAAAGCCUCUAAGCAUCAGGUAACACGAAAUCGUACCCCAAACCGACACAGGUGGUCAGGUAGAGAAUACCAAGGCGCUUGAGAGAACUCGGGUGAAGGAACUAGGCAAAAUGGUGCCGUAACUUCGGGAGAAGGCACGCUGACACGUAGGUGAAGUGAUUUACUCAUGGAGCUGAAGUCAGUCGAAGAUACCAGCUGGCUGCAACUGUUUAUUAAAAACACAGCACUGUGCAAACACGAAAGUGGACGUAUACGGUGUGACGCCUGCCCGGUGCCGGAAGGUUAAUUGAUGGGGUCAGCGCAAGCGAAGCUCCUGAUCGAAGCCCCGGUAAACGGCGGCCGUAACUAUAACGGUCCUAAGGUAGCGAAAUUCCUUGUCGGGUAAGUUCCGACCUGCACGAAUGGCGUAAUGAUGGCCAGGCUGUCUCCACCCGAGACUCAGUGAAAUUGAACUCGCUGUGAAGAUGCAGUGUACCCGCGGCAAGACGGAAAGACCCCGUGAACCUUUACUAUAGCUUGACACUGAACAUUGAGCCUUGAUGUGUAGGAUAGGUGGGAGGCUUUGAAGUGUGGACGCCAGUCUGCAUGGAGCCGACCUUGAAAUACCACCCUUUAAUGUUUGAUGUUCUAACGUGGACCCGUAAUCCGGGUUGCGGACAGUGUCUGGUGGGUAGUUUGACUGGGGCGGUCUCCUCCUAAAGAGUAACGGAGGAGCACGAAGGUUGGCUAAUCCUGGUCGGACAUCAGGAGGUUAGUGCAAUGGCAUAAGCCAGCUUGACUGCGAGCGUGACGGCGCGAGCAGGUGCGAAAGCAGGUCAUAGUGAUCCGGUGGUUCUGAAUGGAAGGGCCAUCGCUCAACGGAUAAAAGGUACUCCGGGGAUAACAGGCUGAUACCGCCCAAGAGUUCAUAUCGACGGCGGUGUUUGGCACCUCGAUGUCGGCUCAUCACAUCCUGGGGCUGAAGUAGGUCCCAAGGGUAUGGCUGUUCGCCAUUUAAAGUGGUACGCGAGCUGGGUUUAGAACGUCGUGAGACAGUUCGGUCCCUAUCUGCCGUGGGCGCUGGAGAACUGAGGGGGGCUGCUCCUAGUACGAGAGGACCGGAGUGGACGCAUCACUGGUGUUCGGGUUGUCAUGCCAAUGGCACUGCCCGGUAGCUAAAUGCGGAAGAGAUAAGUGCUGAAAGCAUCUAAGCACGAAACUUGCCCCGAGAUGAGUUCUCCCUGAGACUUAGAGUCUCCUGAAGGAACGUUGAAGACGACGACGUUGAUAGGCCGGGUGUGUAAGCGCAGCGAUGCGUUGAGCUAACCGGUACUAAUGAACCGUGAGGCUUAACCUU